CUAACUCUUACCAGCACUACCCCUUUCAUGGUGGGUCCUGCAUUAACUGUGACAAGAUCCCUAGUGGUCUACUCUAACUUCAGAGGAGCUGAAGGAUUCCCCAGUCACAUUCCACUUCUGAAGGGCCAUGAGAACCCAUGGAAAUUCCUGUAAUAAGAGUGGCAGAGACUAUUCCUGAUCCUAAAAUUAGCAGUUGCAAAAUAAAAACUGAUGAUUCUCUGAAAGAGAUGUUUGACCAACCGUAUUAGUCUUGGGCAAGCUGAAAUAGCUGGUGGCCGCUCCAUUCUUCCUGUAUGCUGGAAAUCCUCCCCAAAGACUGAGGAUUAAACCCUCGUGGACAUAAGCCCUGGCCCCGGCUGAUGGGAAGCCCAGUCCCAGCUGGGAGCAUGCUCAGGAUUCACUGAUGCUGAGGAAGCAGAAAAGUGGACCAUAUGUGCAACACAGGAUCCUCUACUGGGGAAAGAUGAGAACUUCCUUGAAGAGGAAAGUAAGUUAGUUAUUGGCGGUCAAGUGAUAUUGGAAAAGGCAAGCCACAACUUUGUGAGCUGGGUCUUCUUUCACUCUGGCCCAGGACCUGGGCUGGAUGAAUUCCCUACAUAUGACACUUCUGGCAGCCCACCGGCCUCAACAGUAAACAGAGUAGUGGCAGGCCAUGACCGGCAUUAUCCACGGAGGGCAAUCUCCUGCAUCCAAUUCAUUUUUUGCUGCAGUUUAAGUCCUCCUGGGAGCUGAUGGGUGAUCGGUAGGAGGUCUCAUGGUGGCAAGUUUUCGGAAAGUAUCUUUGUAGCACGUGUUAAGAGUUUUCAAAAGAAACCCCCUGUGCUACCUCUGUCUGUCUUCAGCUGGUUCCUCCGGAGUGAACCCAUCCACCCAG